UUUUUCAGAUAGAAUCUGUCCAAAGCUUAUGGCCUAUUUACCGCUUAUUAUGUACACCAACCAUAAU
rnacentral:tRNA from 1 species